rnacentral:rRNA from 1 species
UACGUAGGGUGCGAGCGUUGUCCGGAAUCACUGGGCGUAAAGGGUGCGUAGGCGGGUCUUUAAGUCAGGGGUGAAAUCCUGGAGCUCAACUCCAGAACUGCCUUUGAUACUGAGGAUCUUGAGUUCGGGAGAGGUGAGUGGAACUGCGAGUGUAGAGGUGAAAUUCGUAGAUAUUCGCAAGAACACCAGUGGCGAAGGCGGCUCACUGGCCCGAUACUGACGCUGAGGCGCGAAAGCGUGGGGAGCAAACAGG